rnacentral:rRNA from 1 species
CACAAAAUGACUCUCGGCAACGGAUAUCUCGGCUCUUGCAUCGAUGAAGAACGUAGCGAAAUGCGAUACUUGGUGUGAAUUGCAAAAUCCCGUGAACCAUCGAGUCUUUGAACGCAAGUUGCGCCCGAAGCCAUUAGGUUGAGGGCACGCCUGCCUGGGUGUCACA